GUACACUCCUACGGGAGGCAGCAGUGAGGAAUAUUGGACAAUGGGUGGAAGCCUGAUCCAGCCAUCCCGCGUGCAGGAAGACGGCCCUAUGGGUUGUAAACUGCUUUUAUCUGGGGAUAAACCUACUUACGUGUAAGUAGCUGAAGGUACCAGAAGAAUAAGCACCGGCUAACUCCGUGCCAGCAGCCGCGGUAAUACGGAGGGUGCAAGCGUUAUCCGGAUUUAUUGGGUUUAAAGGGUCCGUAGGCGGACUGAUAAGUCAGUGGUGAAAUCCGACAGCUUAACUGUCGAACUGCCAUUGAUACUGUUAGUCUUGAGUAAGGUUGAAGUGGCUGGAAUAAGUAGUGUAGCGGUGAAAUGCAUAGAUAUUACUUAGAACACCAAUUGCGAAGGCAGGUCACUAAGUCUUAACUGACGCUGAUGGACGAAAGCGUGGGGAGCGAACAGGAUUAGAAACCCCAGUAGUCCCAUGA
rnacentral:rRNA from 1 species